GACCAAUACAAACAUAAGCUCCUUUUGAUGCCAACAGGCAGAGCAGUUUAAUAAUUAGUCUCCCAACUCAACCCAUUUCAAAUACACAAUGAAGCAAAAAAAGAACUGAAGCUGCUCAAAUUCUCUACUGAAGCAUGGAUUGAAUUGGGACUGGGAAUGAAGGUGAGAAGAGGUUAAAAGAACUGAGAACUACAUAAUGAAUUGCAGAGAGGAGUGUGGUGGAGAAUUAUAGUGUGCCUUGCUUCCAGAGACUAAAUCCCAGUGAAAACUUCUGAGGAGACAUGGCAAAUAGUAGAGGGAGGAAGAAGUCAUAAACAGCUUGCUGGAUGAGGAUGCAUCCAAACCAACCACGAUAUUUUCCAUUUCCAAACUCCUCAUAUUCAUGCACUCCUGGCACAAAUAGAAGUGACUCUGUUGGUGUGUUUGUGAGUGUCUCCCAAUCCAGAUCAAUCCCACCGGAACUCCUGAU
rnacentral:lncRNA from 1 species